rnacentral:rRNA from 1 species
CUGGCGGCGUGCCUAAUACAUGCAAGUCGAGCGAACGGACGAGAAGCUUGCUUCUCUGAUGUUAGCGGCGGACGGGUGAGUAACACGUGGAUAACCUACCUAUAAGACUGGGAUAACUUCGGGAAACCGGAGCUAAUACCGGAUAAUAUUUGAACCGCAUGGUUCAAAAGUGAAAGACGGUCUUGCUGUCACUUAUAGAUGGAUCCGCGCUGCAUUAGCUAGUUGGUAAGGUAACGGCUUACCAAGGCAACGAUGCAUAGCCGACCUGAGAGGGUGAUCGGCCACACUGGAACUGAGACACGGUCCAGACUCCUACGGGAGGCAGCGGUAGGGAAUCUUCCGCAAUGGGCGAAAGCCCGACGGAGCAACGCCGCGUGAGUGAUGAAGGUCUUCGGAUCGUAAAACUCUGUUAUUAGGGAAGAACAUAUGUGUAAGCAACUGUGCACAUCUUGACGGUACCUAAUCAGAAAGCCACGGCUAACUACGUGCCAGCAGCCGCGGUAAUACGUAGGUGGCAAGCGUUAUCCGGAAUUAUUGGGCGUAAAGCGCGCGUAGGCGGUUUUUUAAGUCUGAUGUGAAAGCCCACGGCUCAACCGUGGAGGGUCAUUGGAAACUGGAAAACUUGAGUGCAGAAGAGGAAAGUGGAAUUCCAUGUGUAGCGGUGAAAUGCGCAGAGAUAUGGAGGAACACCAGUGGCGAAGGCGACUUUCUGGUCUGUAACUGACGCUGAUGUGCGAAAGCGU